GGAGGUCACCGUUAUCAGAGUUCGACUAAGCCAUGCGAGGCGUGAGUCUUCGGGACUCGCCGAACUGCUCAGUAACACGUAGCUAACAUAUUCUUGGCAGGGGGAUAAUCUCGAGAAAUUGAGGCUAAUACCCCAUAACUGCUAGAGGCUGGAAUGCGCUAGCAGUGAAAGCUACGGCGGCCAAGAGUUGGGCUGCGGCCUAUCAAGGCUGUUGUGAGUUUAAAAUACUCACAAACCGAUAACGGGUAGGGGCCAUGAGAGUGGAAGCCUCGAGAUGCCUUCUGAGACAUGAAGGCAGGUCCUACGGGACGCAGCAGGCGCGAAAACUUUCCAAUUGCUUAACGGCUGAGAAGGGAACUCUGAGUGGCUAUGCAAUGCAUAGUCUUUUAUCUUGCCUAAAAAGCAAGGCGAAUAAGUGGUGGGUAAGACGGGUGGCAGCCGCCGCGGUAAUACCCGCGCCACAAAUGGUGACCACGAUUAUUGGGUCUAAAGCGUCCGUAGCCGGUUUAGCAAGUUCUUGGUGAAAUCUACUAGCAAACUAGCAGGCUUGCUGAGAAUACUACUAGACUUGGGAUUGGGAGAGGAUAGAGGUAUUCCACGGGUAGGGGUUAAAUCCUUUAAUCCGUGGAGGACCACCGGUGGCGAAGGCGUCUAUCUGGAACGAAUCCGACGGUGAGGGACGAAAGCGUGGGGAGCAAACGGGAUUAGAUACCCCGGUAGUCCACGCUGUAAACGAUGCCCGUUUGAUGUUGCAAGCCUUACGGGAGCUUGCAGUGUCGGAGCGUAGGUGUUAAACGGGCCACCUGGGGAGUACGGCCGCAAGGUUGAAACUUAA
rnacentral:rRNA from 1 species